UAUAAUUAAAAAAUGUUGUUAUCUGCAUUUUUGUUGGCCUUAUCAGCGCUGUUUUAAUAAUAAUUUUAAGUUUUUAUUUACCUGUUUUGAAAUUUUUAAUCUUUUAAAUCUAAUGUUAUUUAUUUGUUUGUAAUAUUUACGUUUAAUUGUUUGUAACAUUGUACUAUUUAUCGUUUUCAUAAUAUGUAUUUUAAAUUAUCCCGCUAUUUCAUAGAACUAGUGUCAUUACACCGUUGGUAAUUGCUAAUUAAUUAUAUCGUUUUAAACAACCAUGUAUUUCGAAUAAAAUUGUUGGUUAGGUGUUGUUUGUAUAUACUUAGAUCUAUUAUGAAUUUUAAAAAUAUGUUGUGUAUAUACAUGUACAUUGUUACUAGUUUCUUUGUCUUCCACCCAAAUCCCUGAGUAUUUUGCUAUUAUUUGGUUACUCUGAUGAAGUCUAUAAGCAUAGACGAAAGCUUAGACCAUUAAUAAAAAGGCACAUCCUACGAA